rnacentral:lncRNA from 1 species
GUUUCCGAGGACAUGACCCUUGAUAGGGGAGUCUGGAGGUCUAGAAUCAGUGUUGUAGGCUAGGGGCUCAUAGAGUGCUUCGUACGCCUCUCCCGGGAUUGGGUGUGGGACUGCAGGGUUAUCCAUAGAUGAUUUGUGUUUUAGCUUAUGCCCCCCUUAUGGUUGUUAGUAUGGUAGUUACUGUUUGUUAUUAUUGCAUGCGAUUGUAUUUAU